rnacentral:lncRNA from 1 species
CGGUUCCUUCCUCUUCUGCCGGGGCAGCUGUGCUCAGCACAUCCUCUUUCGGCGCUGCCCUUGAAGGCGCUUCCCCAGCAGACCUGCCUCCUGGACAGGCCCAACUUCCUCCAGCCUUGACUGCCCGCUCGCAGUGACCCUUUGGCUCAGACAGGCCCCAGCCUCAGCCCCCACCUCCUGCAAAGAGAGGAGCCAUACAGGUCAUCUGAAAUCAAGUGCAAGUACACAGCAAUCUGAUUCAGCUGGAGAGUGGGGCAACUAGACAGCCACUGAAUUGAAACUGGAGGAUGGAGAUGCUGAGGGAGUGGAGAGCAAGGUCCUGCCCUUCCUCCCCAUCCUCAUCAGGCAGCGCCCUCAAGUAGGAGUUCAGGAGGACGUGCCUGCCGCCCACACCUCUGGAGAGGAGACAAAGGCUCCUCACAACACACCUCCAUGGAAUGUUUUCGAGUUUGUACAGGGCUUUCACAUACUGGGGGGUUAGUCUUAUUUGUUCCACUCUACGUGUACGUCUGAGAAAACUAUGGUAAGAAAGAUCAAGUGGCCGGCCCAGCGUCACAGUCUGGAGUGACUCUGGCUGGGCUCAUCCCCAGGCUGAACCCUAGCUCCUGCUCUCUUUCCCCAACCCUCCCUGAAAGGCCUCCCCUCCCCCAGACCAUCGUAGUGAUUUUCCAAGGCCACUCCAAGAGAGUCCUGUGGCCAAUUUGCCCUUAUGUCUGGCUUCUGGCCAAAAGUCAUGGGGUCACACUUGAAAGACUUCCUCAAACCCUGCAAGUCAUCACUCUGGAGGUUUCUGCCUGAAUUAGAAGCAGGGACUGUUUCCCUACACGCUACCAAUGGGGCUGUAAUGGGGGCAGGUUUCAGGGUAGCCAUUUGUCAAUGCGUUUUGAAAGCCUUAAAAACAUGCAUCCCUUUUACCUGUCAAUACCACAUGAAGGAAACAAACAGAUAUGCAGAAAUGUACCUACAAAG